GGUUUAUUUGCCUCUCCUCACUCACUCUGACAGCCUGUCGGCGGUGAAACUGCUCAUAAACCUCGCUGGGAGUCUCACUUUCAUCUGCGAGAGCUGCUGGUGUGAGAGCUCCAUCUGCUGCUGAACUCAGCUGGGAAUCUUCACACUCUCUUACCAGCUUCAGUCAGCACCUUCGCAGUAUGGUGGCUGGACCUUCAUGUGGUGUAUAUACAGAUGGAUGUGACAUCUUCAGGCAUUUGAAAGGUGUAUCCAAAGAUGGACCAGAAUUGUGGCAGGGUGACCACAGCGCUGAUAAGGAGGGUGACAGGUGUCCCCCUGCUUCCAGCUGUGAUCAGAAACUCUGUGGUUUUUACUGAGAAAAUGCCCCGCUGCAGAGGUGAGAACCCACAGCUUCAAGCCAAACAGCUCCUUACCUCACUAAUGUUCAUCAUUGGCUCACUAUCAGCAUAUCACACCUUACACAGUAUAAUGUUGAGUAUGAAUGUAUAUAGUAGAAGACAUAAGUAAGCUUAGAUGCAAUAUUAUUCAUGUGACAGAUGACGCAAUAUCCUUUCAUGUCCACAAGUAAAACCAUACAAACAAAGAUUACUUGAUUAUUUUUUUAAUACAAAUAAAACACACUUAAACCUGUAAUUACAGGGAAUUCCUACUGGGAAGCACAGAGUUGGGCUGUAGCGAUAUGGGCAAUGGGAGCAAAAAUGGUUUUGAU